rfam:Gossypium arboreum cultivar AKA8401 contig_108388_1, whole genome shotgun sequence.
AACCCAUGGUAGGGCACCUUCUCAAUAAAUCCUUAUAACUCUUCAAUGCAUCAUAUAAUGUCUCUAAAUAGAUCUGUACAAAGAAAGAGAUGUUGUUCCUCAACUU